rnacentral:rRNA from 1 species
AUGUGGUUCCUAGGAGGCCAUUUCUCGCUGGCGCUCGCCGUGUGGCAUGCUCUCCUGGUCCUGGGCCUUGGGAGCGGCAGCUCGGCGCUCAGCUGCUACUCGCGCAUCUUCAGCUUCGGCGACUCCCUCACCGACACCGGCAACUACGUGCGUCUGACGGCGAAGAACCCGAGCCCGUACGGAGCGCCGCCGUACGGGACGACGUUCUUUGGCCGUCCGACCGGCCGAGCCAGCGACGGCCGCCUCGUCAUCGACUUCAUCGCGCAGGAGCUUGGGCUGGCCAAUGUGACGGCCAUCCGGACGAGCACGGCCCCGGCGGACUUCGAGCACGGCGCCAACUUCGCCAUCAUCUCGGCCACCGCCAACAACGGCUCCUUCUUCGCCGGCAAGGGGAUGGACAUCACCCCCUUCUCGCUCGACACGCAGAUGAUCUGGUUCAGGGCCCACAUGCAGCAGCUCGCGCAGCAGAACACCGGCACCAACGUGCUGGCCGACGCGCUGGUGGCGCUGGGCGAGAUUGGGGGCAACGACUACAACUUCGCCUUCUCGAGCGGCAUGCCGCGCGAGAGGGUGCGGGCGUUCGUGCCGGCCGUCGUCGAGAAGCUGGCCGCGGCGGUCGAGGAGCUGAUCGGGAUGGGCGCGAGGGCGUUCAUGGUGCCCGGGAACCUGCCCUUCGGGUGCGCGCCGCUGUACCUGCGGCGGUUCCGGAGCGCCAGGGCCGGGGACUACGACGCGCGGACGGGGUGCCUCGCGUGGUUCAACAGGUUCGCCGAGUACCACAACCGGGUCCUCACGGCGCGGCUCGGCGCGCUCCGGCUCCGCCACCCGGACGUCACCAUCGUCUACGCCGACUGGUACGGCGCCAUGAUGAGCAUCUUCCAGGCCCCCGAAAGGCUAGGAAUCACAAACACUCUACUGUCCUGUUGCGGCAACCAGACAGUGCCGUGCGGUAGACCUGGGUGCACCGUAUGCGACGACCCAUCCACGUAUGGCUCAUGGGACGGGACGCACCCAACAGAGGCAGUGUACAAGGUGAUCGCCGACGGUGUGCUGCAUGGUCCGCACUCGUCCCCUCUUCCUCUCGCCAAGACUUGCCCUCCCAGCUGA